UCUACGGGUGGCAGCAGUAGGGAAUCUUCCACAAUGGGCGCAAGCCUGAUGGAGCAACACCGCGUGAGUGAAGAAGGGUUUCGGCUCGUAAAGCUCUGUUGUUGGAGAAGAACGUGCGUGAGAGUAACUGUUCACGCAGUGACGGUAUCCAACCAGAAAGUCACGGCUAACUACGUGCCAGCAGCCGCGGUAAUACGUAGGUGGCAAGCGUUAUCCGGAUUUAUUGGGCGUAAAGCGAGCGCAGGCGGUUGCUUAGGUCUGAUGUGAAAGCCUUCGGAUUAACCGAAGAAGUGCAUCGGAAACGGGGCAACUUGAGUGCAGAAGAGGACAGUGGAACUCCAUGUGUAGCGGUGGAAUGCGUAGAUAUAUGGAAGAACACCAGUGGCGAAGGCGGCUUACUGGACUGUAACUGACGUUGAGGCUCGAAAGCGUGGGGAGCAAACAGGAUUAGAUACCCCUGUAGUC
rnacentral:rRNA from 1 species